GUCCAUUUCAAUCACGAUAGGCCAGACAACAGGAGUAGAAAGACCGGCUUUCAACAAUGGUCAAAUCAAGGACACUGCAAUCACAAGGAAGGCCACUUCCCGUCAUUUCCAGUAUUGUAUAAAGGUGUUGUACUUCAACUUUCUCCGUCCCUCCUCUCUCCCAUCCCACACGCAGCCGCCUGGAGUGAGGUGGUCGUCAGCCUGCCCUCCUCAUCACCUCUUAAUCAGAGAGCUGGCACCGGCUGCCCAGAAUUGGAUCAACCUCUGUGACCCCUGCUGCUGCUUUCCUUCCAGAGACUCUGAUUGGCUCAGUUGAUUCUCCAGCCUGGAAAACUGCCAAUCGGCAGAGCAACGGUGCGACUCGACAAAAUCCGAGAUGUGUUUGGCGUCUCAGAGGUUUGGACCCUGG